AGCAGCCGCGGUAAUUCCAGCUCCAAUAGCGUAUAUUAAAGUUGUUGCAGUUAAAAAGCUCGUAGUUGAAUUUCGGGAUUAGUACGCUGGUCAUGCCUUUGGUAUGUACUGGUGUUACUGAUUUCUACCUUCUGAAGAACCGUUAUGUCAUUCAUUUGGUGUGGCGGGGAAUCAGGACUGUUACUUUGAAAAAUUAGAGUGUUUAAAGCAGGCUCGCGCUUGAAUACAUUAGCAUGGAAUAAUGAAAUAGGACGUUGAUCCUAUUUUGUUGGUUUCUAGGAUUGACGUAAUGAUUAAUAGGGAUAGUUGGGGGCAUUAGUAUUCAAUUGUCAGAGGUGAAAUUCUUGGAUUUAUUGAAGACUAACUACUGCGAAAGCAUUUGCCAAGGAUGUUUUCAUUAAUCAAGAACGAAAGUUAGGGGAUCGAAGACGAUCAGAUACCGUCGUAGUCUUAACCAUAAACUAUGCCGACUAGGGAUCGGAUGAUGUUAAUUUUUAAUGACUCAUUCGGCGCCUUAACC
rnacentral:rRNA from 1 species